rnacentral:lncRNA from 1 species
AUCAGGGUCCUAAAAUCAUUGCUCAAACCUAUGGGGUUCAUUAUAAUCUUAAGAACAAUAAGAUGCAGCAUAUAAUGAAUCAAAAAUAUCUAUUUUAUUAAUAAUAUAAAUAUCAAUUACAUGAGUCUAGAAGAUAAAUUACAAUAAACACCCUAUUGCAUCCCAUAUACGAUUGGCUUGUAAGACAUUAUUCUUUCAGAUAUACUGUUA